rnacentral:rRNA from 1 species
GAUGAACGCUAGCUACAGGCUUAACACAUGCAAGUCGAGGGGCAGCAUUUUAGUUUGCUUGCAAACUGAAGAUGGCGACCGGCGCACGGGUGAGUAACACGUAUCCAACCUGCCGAUAACUCCGGAAUAGCCUUUCGAAAGAAAGAUUAAUACCGGAUAGUAUACGAAUAUCGCAUGGUAUUUUUAUUAAAGAAUUUCGGUUAUCGAUGGGGAUGCGUUCCAUUAGUUUGUUGGCGGGGUAACGGCCCACCAAGACUACGAUGGAUAGGGGUUCUGAGAGGAAGGUCCCCCACAUUGGAACUGAGACACGGUCCAAACUCCUACGGGAGGCAGCAGUGAGGAAUAUUGGUCAAUGGGCGAGAGCCUGAACCAGCCAAGUAGCGUGAAGGAUGAAGGCUCUAUGGGUCGUAAACUUCUUUUAUAUGGGAAUAAAGUUUUCCACGUGUGGAAUUUUGUAUGUACCAUAUGAAUAAGGAUCGGCUAACUCCGUGCCAGCAGCCGCGGUAAUACGGAGGAUCCGAGCGUUAUCCGGAUUUAUUGGGUUUAAAGGGAGCGUAGGUGGAUUGUUAAGUCAGUUGUGAAAGUUUGCGGCUCAACCGUAAAAUUGCAGUUGAAACUGGCAGUCUUGAGUACAGUAGAGGUGGGCGGAAUUCGUGGUGUAGCGGUGAAAUGCUUAGAUAUCACGAAGAACUCCGAUUGCGAAGGCAGCUCACUAGACUGUCACUGACACUGAUGCUCGAAAGUGUGGGUAUCAAACAGGAUUAGAUACCCUGGUAGUCCACACAGUAAACGAUGAAUACUCGCUGUUUGCGAUAUACAGUAAGCGGCCAAGCGAAAGCAUUAAGUAUUCCACCUGGGGAGUACGCCGGCAACGGUGAAACUCAAAGGAAUUGACGGGGGCCCGCACAAGCGGAGGAACAUGUGGUUUAAUUCGAUGAUACGCGAGGAACCUUACCCGGGCUUAAAUUGCAACAGAAUAUAUUGGAAACAGUAUAGCCGUAAGGCUGUUGUGAAGGUGCUGCAUGGUUGUCGUCAGCUCGUGCCGUGAGGUGUCGGCUUAAGUGCCAUAACGAGCGCAACCCUUAUCUUUAGUUACUAACAGGUGAUGCUGAGGACUCUAGAGAGACUGCCGUCGUAAGAUGUGAGGAAGGUGGGGAUGACGUCAAAUCAGCACGGCCCUUACGUCCGGGGCUACACACGUGUUACAAUGGGGGGUACAGAAGGCGGCUACCUGGUGACAGGAUGCUAAUCCCAAAAACCUCUCUCAGUUCGGAUCGAAGUCUGCAACCCGACUUCGUGAAGCUGGAUUCGCUAGUAAUCGCGCAUCAGCCAUGGCGCGGUGAAUACGUUCCCGGGCCUUGUACACACCGCCCGUCAAGCCAUGAAAGCCGGGGGUACCUGAAGUACGUAACCGCAAGGAGCGUCCUAGGGUAAAACUGGU